UACGUAGGAUGCAAGCGUUAUCCGGAUUUACUGGGUGUAAAGGGAGCGCAGGCGGGACUGCAAGUUGGAUGUGAAAUACCGUGGCUUAACCACGGAACUGCAUCCAAAACUGUAGUUCUUGAGUGAAGUAGAGGCAAGCGGAAUUCCGAGUGUAGCGGUGAAAUGCGUAGAUAUUCGGAGGAACACCAGUGGCGAAGGCGGCUUGCUGGGCUUUAACUGACGCUGAGGCUCGAAAGUGUGGGGAGCAAACA
rnacentral:rRNA from 1 species